rnacentral:rRNA from 1 species
GUCUACAGCCACACCACCCUGAACAAGUCCAAUGUUUGAUUUUGGAAGCUAAGCAGGGUUGGGCCUGGUUAGUACUUCGAUGGGAGACCACCUAGGAAGACCAGGUGCUGUAGGUA